ACUUCCUGCAGAAAUCCUCCAGCCCUGUUAGAAAUGCCUCAGCCAGGGGGACUCAUCUCCUCAAACCUGGGGGACCGAGACCUAUGAGAGGUCACAGCAUGAGCCAGGACAUCGGAGGUACCCAGACAUUGUUAUGAAACUCCGCAUGUGCCCCUGGUGGACGCUGCUGGACCCAGCAUGCACACUUCUCGGCUAAGAGUCACCCUGGAUGAACCACCAUUGCCAGCGGGGAGCAUGUUGCAGCUUUCCCACGCAGUGGAUGAGAACGAAGGUUACGACCAUUGUGUGGGAGGCGUCUGUGUAGCAAUUGCUGGAAUCACUAAUGCAGAGGAUAAAGCAAGCAAACAAAAAAACUUCCAGAAGAAUCACAGAGUUUUAGACCUAGAAAAAAACUGAAAAAUCAUCCAUUCCACUCUCCUCAUUUUACAGAUGAGGGCAUCGAGCCUCAGAGAAAUGAAACUUGCCCAAGACCACACAGCAAGUGAGUGGGGGACUCAUGACCCAAGACACUUUUUCCAGGCUUCCUUCUACCACAUCAUGCUGCAGAAAACACAGCAGAUGGGAAGAGACGAGGCAUGUGGUUGCCAUUUCUGUAUUACAUCCAAUUCAUAUUUCAUUUAGAAAAUGUAUUUCUAGAACUUGUUAAAAAACCUGAAUGAUUUUGAUUGAAGUUUUUCAAAACUAGGAUUACUAUGCUUCUAAUGGAGAUCAAGUUCAAAUUUUUAACAUAUUUUGCCUUAUUUUGCCACUCCCCUCAAAAUAUCCAUAGUAUUGAAUGCCCAGGUUUCCUGUUUGGAAAAGCCCGAGGAUCUGUGCACACUCUGGGCUACUCUUGCCCAGCUCCUGACUGAGGCACUGGACCUGGCCCGAUGCUGCUCUCUGCUGCUGCCCAGCUCUUCUGCUCCACCGGCAACACUGUACCCAGUUAAUCAUUAGGGCCCUUGUCUCUGUACAAUUGCUCUGUACAACUCGAUAAAAUAAUCCAUGCUAACAAAAGUCUAGAAUGG
rnacentral:lncRNA from 10 species